rnacentral:snoRNA from 1 species
AAAGCAGGUUGCAAUUACAGUUCUUCUUUCUAUGGAAUUGCUGUCAUUAUCCUGCUGAGAGUAAAGAUGUCAGACUGUUUGGUUUCACCUUAACAUAGGAGAAAUUAUUGUUUCCUGACAUCAACAGCC